GAUGAACGCUAGCGGCAGGCCUAAUACAUGCAAGCCGAACGGCAAGAUUUUCAGCAAUGGAAAUCCUAGAGUGGCGUAAGGGUGCGUAACACGUAUGCAAUCUGCCCUCAACAGGAGGAUAGCUCCCCGAAAGGGGAAUUAAGACUCCAUAAGAUCUUAGAGUGGCAUCACUUAGAGAUUAAACUACCAGGGGUUGAGGAUGAGCAUGCGCANGAUUAGUUAGUUGGCGGGGUAACGCCCACCAAGACGAUGAUCAUUAGGGGAACUGAGAGGUUGAUCCCCCACACUGGCACUGAGAUACGGGCCAGACUCCUACGGGAGGCAGCAGUGGGGAAUAUUGGACAAUGGGCGCAAGCCUGAUCCAGCGAUGCCGCGUGUGUGAA
rnacentral:rRNA from 1 species